CGAUUCGAAAAGCGAAGACGGACGAGUGGCCAUAUUCGUCUUGUAGAUUCCCGUGCGCAAACACUGCCCCGUAGCAGCAGCAGCAGCAACGGAAUUCUCCGGAUUUUUUUGCCCGUCGAACGCGAACCCACGUAUAUUUAGCUGGUAGAAGGUAUAGCGAAGAAACUUUGCCCCGUUGUUUGUUGAAGUAGUGAGUGAAUUGAGCAGUAAAGUAAAGAAAGUGUCCGCGGAUCGUCGUGGUGCGGACGGAACGAAAAACUGAACUGAACUUCUUUGCUACUGUGUGUUUUUGUUUUUUUUUUCGCUGGUUCCCCCGUGUCAUUGCCGAGUUUCACACAGCACAGCUCAGCUCAGCCCAGCGCGUAUCGCGAGUUUUUCCUCUGCGUUGUUGGAUGUGAAAAUUUUCCUUGCCCAUUUGUAAGCAGCAAGAAGCAGUGAGCUCUCUGCUCUGCUGCCGUUCGAAAUAGUAUAUUUUUGUGUGCAAAAGUGAAUAGUGAACGUGUACGACGAAGAAUCGCGAAGUGCGUGAAAAUUUAUUUCUCCCUAGUAUUUUUCUUUUUUUGCUUUGUUGGUUCCGACUUUGUGUGUGCAGCUGCUCCUUACGAGGAGCCCCACAGCAGAAUCCAGUUCAUCGGGCUGACACAGCCGACUGUGGUUUAGGAAGCAAAAUACACAAUACUCUGCUUGCUUGGAUUGCUACCGAUAUUGGGAAGAAGUGCAGUUUGUUCUCGGAUUAAUCUGGUUCCUCAAGAAGGACGGAAUACCCCUGGCUCAGGCUUUUAAGCAUAUCAACAACAACUGUAACAACACAACAUCAAAACAACAACACAUUCGGAUGAAUAGAGAGGGCAGCAACAGAGGGAUUCAGUGAUUGUGGCCGAAGCUGUCUUUUGCGCGAUAAUGCCUUCGCUUUCGAUGAUGAAGAUGAUGAUUAUGGUGAUGGUUACGAAUGGUUAAUUGAAUGCGUAUCAAUUUCAGUGUGAUAUCGAAACACCUUGAAGCGCUCCGUGCCGAUACAAUUUUUGGGGAAAGGCGAAGAAGAGAGUUGCGGUGAAUCAAAAUUUAAAGUUGAGAGAGAAAAAACCGAGAAGAAUUCAGGCCGAAAAUAUUGAGUGUAACGUAACGUGAAUGGGUAUGGUUUCGCCUCCCUAUGGUAAAUCAUAUAAUUGUGCAGAUCGAGUGAAGUGCGUUGAUAAAUUGAUCUAUAAUUGAAUAUAAAAAAAUUGUCUGUCGAUCGUUGAGAUUGUUGUGUCACACAGCACGACUACACAAUGUCCAUGGAUAAUCGCAGCUCGUCGGCCCUGUUUAAGCGGGCUGAACAGCUAAAGCGAUGGGAAGAAUCGGAAACGAACAAACACAGCGGCAUCCCGAAGAGUCCGUCGAUGCGGCGGAUCAAGUUCUCCAGCGGCUGUAUCUUUCUGGCCGCCUGUGUGGCCGGCGAUAAGGACGAGGUAUCCCGGUUGCUGGAAACCGGUGCCGACAUCAACACGGCCAAUGUCGACGGGCUAACGGCGCUGCAUCAGGCGUGUAUCGAUGAUAAUCUGGACAUGGUCGAAUAUUUGGUACAAAACGGUGCAGAUGUAAAUCGGAAAGACAACGAAGGUUGGACCCCGCUGCACGCCACAUCAUCUUGUGGAUUUCUCAGUAUAGCCCGAUACCUGAUAGAAAAUGGGGCGGAUCUGGCAUCGAUCAACAGUGACGGGGAGCUGGCCCUGGAUUUGGCCUGUUCCGAUGCCAUGGAGGAUCUUAUUCAGCGUCACAUCGAUGAACAGGGCAUAGAUUGCGAGGAAGCGCGGCAAAUUGAGGAGAAGAUCAUGCUCAGUGAUGCCAAACGAUGGCUCCGAACUGACAGUACAGACUGUGAUAAACCGCACCCGAAAACGGGAGCCACGGCGCUUCAUGUGGCCGCUGCCAAGGGAUACCUGAAAGUACUCAGUCUGCUGCUGGACGGUCGGGGAGACUUUGACAAACAGGACGUAGAUGGAUGGACGGCACUUCAUGCGGCAGCUUACUGGGGCCAAAAGGAAGCAGUCCAGCUGCUGUUGAAUGCCAAUGUCGAUAUCGACAUCCAGAACUACAGCGGCCAGUACGCGAUCGAUAUCGCCCAGAAGGAUAUCGUUUCACUGCUGGAUGAAGCUAGGAAGAAUCACAAACGGCCCAAGCGGCGACCCGCUAGUCAAAGAAUCACCGAUACUAUCGAAAAUAGCAUCGAAACACCCACCAAGGUCAUCCGGGUUGAGGUCAAACCAAUCGACAGUAGCAAAGAGAAAGAAGUGAAUUCAGCAGCCGCCGACGAAGGUGAAAGCGUUUCGGAACAAGAGGAUGACGAACCGGACGAUGGGAGCGGGAGUGAUCGAGACGGGAAGAAUGCAGAGCAAGAAUCGGACUCAGCCGAAGAAGCAGACGAACCGGCAGAGGAAGCUGAAGAAGAGGCAGAAGAAGAAGAAUCGGAAGAAGACGUAGAAGAAGAAGAGGAGACCGCAGAACCGGACGAAGAAUCGGAACCGGAAGCGACCGUCUCUUCGGAACCGUACUCGUCUUCCGAGUCGUCCUCUUCCACAACCUCCUCCGCCGACAGCAGCCUAUCAGAAUCCGACACAGAAACCACCAAACCUGUUGCCAUCAUAUCCCGCCCGACUCCGGUUCCGGUUACGGAACAGAUAAUCGUUCCGAAACCACAGCAAACAAUCUUGGCGGCAGCACCAUCACCACCUUCAGUUGAAGCAGCAGCAGCAGCUCCACCAGUUCCGGCAUCACCUGUUCCCUGGCGUCGCGCUCGUCCUGCGGCUACUCCGAUUCCUACGGCCGAUGCGAUUCAACAGCAGGAAGCAUACCUGCAGAAGCUACAGAAUGGCAUUUCCAAUAAUCACAGCUUUAGCAGAAAUCAAGUUCCGGAAAAGGAAAACCAACCAACCGAGCCGGACGUUAUCCUGCGGCGGACCCAGAGUUUCGAGAAUGACGAAAAGUUCUACCAAAAGUACGUUGAACUGCGGGCCCGAAUACAGGCCAACUCCUGUCCCAUUUUGCCGAACAACAACGCCAAUCCGGCCACGAUUGCGAAGACCGCCUCCACCAACUAUCUGAUACAAAGGUCAGCAUCACUCAAGGAUCAUCGAACGUUAAGGAAAGCAACCAGCAAUCUGGUCCUGGGAAGCACCGGAAGUGCCGCAACCACCCAGCAACAAUCGUCGACGACGUCCCCACCCACUAGUCCCACCGGAACGACCACCUCGUCAUCGGUGCAGCAGCAGCAAAUCCGAAGCAUCACACCUGCCAAUAACAGCAACAACAGCAUCAGUCACACGACAGAAUCAGAAGCUACAGUCAACCUCAACAACAACGACAACAAUAGUAAUAAUGACAGCCGAGGUUACAACAAUAACAACAACAACAACAACAAUAGUAGCGCGACUGCAAACAAGAAUCACAGCCUGUUCGAACUCAAUCGCAAAUACAUUGAACAAGCCCAGAAGACCAAGAUCAAUAACGAACGUAAUAAAUUUCUCUCGUCACUCAACGAGAAGAGACAACAGUUGCAGCAGCAACAACAGAAACAACAGGAAGUGGAACAGCAACAGCCGGAAGCGGAAGAGGCAUCAGCAGCAACACUCGCGCAGCCGGCCGGCUCAAAAUCCGGCACCGCAACCGGGCCACAGCAGCAGCAGCAGGAGCAAACGAUCCUGGCCAAGAGUGUAGCUCCGAUGGCGGCCAGCAGCAGCAGCCUCCACUUUUCCUCAACCAACAACGAUGUUACUGAAUCAGAACAACCUUCACCACCACCGUACAGCAGCAACACCAAUAACACCACCACUAGUAGCAGCAACAAUCCAACGGUCGUCGUUUCCACCAACAAACUUUCGCCCGGGAAUAUUUUCAAAAACUUCUUCAAAUCCUUUGUGCCACCGACGCGCGACGAGGAAAGCGAAACGCAGCGGAAGGCGCACGCCAAACGAGUGCGGGAAACGCGUCGCUCGACGCAGGGCGUCACCCUGGACGAGAUCAAGAGCGCCGAACAGCUGGUCAAGAAGAAGAACUCGACCAACAACACCGGCAGCAGUAGCAGUCCAACCGAUAGCGAAUUGCCUGCAUCAAUCGGCAACACCACAACACCAGCAUCCUCCUUAACCUCAACCACAACCACCACCACUACUCCUCCAAUAAACGAUCGCGUUCCUUCGGUUGUGGACGUCGGAGGAGAAAGCUCAGAGGUAAGCGGCAGUGGCAGCAGCAGCAGCAGCAAAGUUCCUUCUAAUUCUGGCGAGGGCGGCGAACAGGUAUCGGCCAGCUUCACCAUCACAGCACCGACCACUUCCGGCACCGGAAAGAGCCUCCUUCGAGGGGGUGAUGCGGGUGGCGGUGGCGGUGGAGGAGGGGGAGGCGACUACGAAGAACCCCCGGAAGCGGAUGCCGCCAGCAAGAUCAAUGUGACCUACACGAUCAGCACCGGCCCUAGGCUAGCUGGUACCGGUAGCAGUAGUAUUAGUAGUAGUAAUCUUAACAACAGUGAACCAACGAAAGCCAAAGAUAAGGGCAAGGAAGAUGUGGCCGCAACGAGUAACAACAACAACAACCCUAUCAAUAGUAACAACAACAAUUCGAAACAAAUCAAGACUGAGCCGGAUGAGUCGACGCUAAAAGCACCCAAGUCUUCGACAACUACCGGUAGCAAAGAUUCAUCAUCAUCCUCAGUGCAGCCGGUCGCUUCGAUCCGGACAACGACCGCUACGGCAGCGACAGCCAUCACCGGAAAACGAUCCCUCUUCGACAUCGACAAUGCCAACUCCCUAACGCUGGCGGAGAAACUCAGGCAGGAGGCCAACAAGUACGCCGAAAGCGAUAAGGAAAACUUUGUGGUCAGUUCAAAACCUUCAGCUACCGCCAAUUCUUCCUCCUCGAACGUAACGCCGGCGGCAGCCGGUGAAGGUAUUGUAUCUGCACCGAGCACCGGAAGCAUUAGCAGCUCUCGAAAGGACUCUGCAACUUCACAACCUGGCAGCACUUCCAAUACGUCUUCGUCGUCGGUAGCCGAACGAAGGCCUUCGUGGCGUCUUAAGGUUGAUGCUGGUUCAAAGUUCAAGCUGGAGGAUGCAUCGGCACCCGCUAGCAGUACUUCCGUAUCAUCAGUCAACAACACUGCCGCAACCACUACCACCAGCAGCAGCCAAGAGCCCGCCUCGAAUAAUCGCCAGCCUGAACUAACCUCGGUAUCUUCGUUACUGCAGCGAAGGCAGAACGGUGAUAGUACUUCCGUUAGCGCCCGCCCGGUAUCGGCACCGGAAGUCGGCGAUGCCAGCUUGCACCUGAGGAGGCAAGCACAGAAGGUUGCCGGCAUCACCAGCACCACCACCCAGGAGGAGAACAAAGAGAACGACAAGGAGAACAACGAAAACCGUACCACCGGUAGCAGUGCCCAGGCUACGCAGGCCGUGAUCCAGAGAAGGAGACGCCCGAAGCGGCGUUCGACCGGAGUGGUGCACGUCGACAUGGAGGACAUUGACCCCGAUAGGCAAGAUUCUCCAGUCGACGGUGAAGACAAGGAGUCCGGAGCCGAACGAGGACGAUCGCGGGUGGGAUCGACCGCAUCGGAGCUAGCGGACUCCGGCAGCAAAGAUGAGUCGACGACGACGGCGUCGGCCAAAGAAAAUGGCGGGGACUACAUCGACUACAAAGCUCUCUACGAACAGGCCAAAGCUGAUAAUGAUGUGCUCAAGGGCACCCUGCGGAAAAAGGAUGAAGAAGUGCUCAGUUUGAAGUCGGCCCUCGAAAGGUUCACAACCGCGACCACCAAGAACAACUCACUGUCCGAGCUGGAAAAGCGGGAAAGACGAGCGAUGGAGCGGAAAAUGUCGGAAAUGGAGGAAGAGCUCAAGCUUCUUCAAAAAUACAAAACAGAAAACGAACGUCUGCGGGCGGAAAAUCGGGCCCUCACACGGGUCGUGUCGAAACUGACCACCUCGGCACAGAAUCAGUUGCACAACAAACAGUAGAAAGGAAGGAAGGAAGGAGUUGAUAAAAAAAACAAUAGAACCCAUGAAAAUUUACAAUUUUUGAUACGAGCAAUUUAAGUUAGUCGUCUACUUUUUUGCUGAAAUUCGUCGAAAAAUGAAACGAAAAAUUGACACAACUAGAAGGCAACGCGGCUACAUCAACAACUACAGCAACGCAACUUUAACAACAACAAACAACGAUCGUAGUACUAGUUUUUACUAGUAGAUAUUUGAAACAAAAACUAUCGUAGUACUAGUCGUUAUCCAACUUAACGGAAAGGUUUACAAAUACUGAAAUUUGUUGAGUAAAUCAAAAUUUUUGUUUUUCUUUUUGAAAUUUGUGUUUCGGUUCGGGUUUUUUUUUUCAUUGGUUUUUUGAUUUAAAGUUCCAGCUAGGUACUAUUGGUGCUAUUGUUGAGAUCCUAGAUCUAGUACUACUUCGGAAUUGGAUUGGUGAAGCUUCCUACUUUUUCUUGGAUAGAAAAAAUCGGUGUAAAGUUACACAAACUAGCCAAAUUGUACAUAGAAAAAAAACUGCUUAGUAUGGUGCAUUGUUCUUUUUCAAAUCAACCAAAUAGCGAAGAACUGUUGUUUCGAGAUUGCGAAAUAGAGGCGGACGCGUUUAUGAAAAAGUAAACAAACAAAACUCCGAACGACACUUUGACACCCCUAGAUAGGCCAACAGUGGACGCGAGCGCUCAAAACGAAGUACUAGAAUGUGAAUGUUUUCGGAAUACCGCCGACGGUAGAGAGUGGUUUUUGCAACUGGAAGCCCUCAAGACCGAAAACCAGCGCCUCAAGGAUGAGAAUGGAGCCCUGAUCCGGGUCAUCAGUAAACUCAGUAGAUAGAAGAUAGAAAAAUUGCCAGGUUCGAAACCAAAAUGCUCGAUCGACGGCGUCGGUGAAAAACGUGGCAAAUCCUAGUAUGGAGCAAAAGAAAAAGGUGGUGGAUCACCUCUAACCAUCUGAAGAAGGCAGGCAAGCACUUAGGCAGCAGAUUGUCGUUGUCGUCCUUCCGAGAGAGAAAAAAAACGAUAGGAAAUAAAUUAUUCUGAGGGCGGAAGUAACAAUUGGCCAAUGAUGAACCACAUUGGCGAGUGUCGAAAAUCGAGACGGAAAACUGAUUUUUUUUACAACAUUAGACUAGCGAUCAACAACAAAAAUGUAUAGGUAUUUGAUGAUAAAGAAAAAUCACAAAUGUAAUGAUGAGAGAAGAAAAAACUAUUAUCACUAGACCGAGGAAAAGCGUAAUCGUAAAAAAACAGCAACAAAAUUAGAAAUUUGAAUACAAUACAGAAAUCAAAAGAAAAAAAACAAGAGAAAAUUAUAGAUAAAAACUACUUUUAUUGCAAACAAAUCGAUCAGAGUUAAACAAAAAAACACACGAAGUUAAACUAUUUAUAAAAAAGUGAAUUUAAGAGAAAGGAUAGAAAAAAAGCAAACUACCGAAAAUGAUUUCAUUUUGUAUUCGCCGUGUAAUUUUUUCUCCUAAACACACACACACCCAUAGCGAUUAGUAUUUAUGAAAGUAAAAACAGCAAAAGUAUAAGCUACUGUCUUGUCAUUAUUAUUGUCAUCGUCAUCUCCUAUUGUUUCCGUUUUGUAUGUGUACAGUGAGAAAAACCACGCAUUUUUUUUUCGUUUCGUUUCGUUUUGUUUUUGAUUUUUAUUUCUACAUCAUUUAGCAUUGAUAAUUUGAGGGAUAAACGAAGAAGAGACAGAAGAAAAUGAAAAUCAUAUAAUAUUAGCUGUGACAAAGAAGAACAAUACAACCAAUAAUUGUACUGGAACCCAGUGGACGACGGAAAUCGUUAAUUUGUUAGUUUUUGGCCUGAAUGUGUCUAUAAGUACUACGUGUAAAUUGUAUCCUUCCAUUUGUUUUCUCUUUUUUUUUCUUUUAAUUAGUAUUAAUCUGUGUUAGUAAUGAGAGUAGAAAUAAAAGUGAAAUUUUCUUUAGAUUAAAA